AUGACUGGAAGCAGUAACCAAGUAUGUCGACAAGGGCAGAGUAGUGCAUCUCGCCAGCAGCUGGAGUCGUCUUCAACCCCCAAACAGUACUUCCAAACUUGUGGGGUGCGUGGGCUCCGGGCCUUAUGGGGACUCAGCCCUUCAGGGUCGCUACCCCAGGCACAGCUUCUCCUGUGCAGCUUCCCCUGUGAGUUGCGCCCGCCGCGGUCCAUCUGGCCAGAGACUAUGCGUCGCCGAAGGCUGGCACUGCAAAUCGUAGCUGUCAUCGGUGCCGUGGUGGAUGUCCCCAGCUCGGUGAGGGAUUACCACCCAUCCUAAAUGCUCUGGAAGUGCAGGGCAGGGAGACUAGACAGCACUUGGGGGAGAGUACGAUCAGAACCAUUGCUGUGGAUGGUACUGAAGGCUUGGUUAGAGGCCAGAAAGUACUGGUUUCAGGUGCACCAAUCAAAAUUCCCAUUGGUCCAGAGACCUUGGGCCGAAUCAUAAACAUCAAUGGAGAACCUAUUGAUGAGCGAGGUCCAAUCAAAACCAAACAAUUUGCUCCCGUUCAUGAAGCUCCUGAGUUCAUAGAGAUGAGUGUUGAACAGGAAAUCCUGGUGACUGGUAUAAGGGUUGUGAAUUUGCUUGUCCCGUAUGUCAAAUUGGACUUUUCGGUGGCGCUCACGUUGGAAAGACAGUACUGAUCAGGGAGUUAAUCAACAAUGUCGCUAAAAGCCAUGGUGUUUACUCUGUGUUUGUUGGUGUUGGUGAGAGGAUCCGUGAGGGCAACGAUUUAUACUAUGAAAUGAUUGAAUCUGGUGUUAUCAACCUAAAAGAUGCCACCUCCAAGGUGGCGUUGGUAUAUGGUCAGAUGAAUGAACCACCUGGUUCUCGUGCCUGGAUAGCUCUGACUGGUCUUACCGUUGCUGAAUACUUCAGAGACCAAGAAGGUCAAGAUGUCUUGCUGUUUAUUGACAACAUCUUCCGCUUCACCCAGACACUCAGAGGUGUCUGCCUUAUUGGGCAGAAUCCCUUCUGCUAUAGUCUACCAGCCCACCCUAGCCACUGACAUGGGUACAAAGCAGGAAAGAAUCACCACCACCCAAGAAGGGGUCCAUCACCUCUGUGCAGGCUAUCUAUGUGCCUGCUGAUGGCUCGACUGAUCCUGCCCCUGCAACUACCUUUGCCCAUUUGGAUGCCACUACUGUGCUGUCUCGUGCUAUUGCUGAGCUGGGCAUCUAUCCAGCUGUGGUUCCUCUGGACUCCACCUCUCAAAUAAUGGAUCCAAAUAUUGUUGGCAGUGAGCAUUAUGAUGUUGUGCGAGGGGUGCAGAAGAUCCUGCAGGACUACAAAUCUCUCCAGGACGUCAUUGCCAUCUUGGGUAUGGAUGAACUUUCUGAGGAAGAUAAGCUGACUGAGUCCUGGGCAAGAAAAUACAGUGCUUCUUGUCUCAGCCAUUCCAGGUUGCUGAGGUCUUCACAGUACAUAUGGGAAAGCUGGUGCCCUUGACGGAGACCAUUAAAGAUUCCAGCAGAUUUUGGCAGGUGACUAUGACCAUCACCCAGAACAAGUUUUCUAUAUGGUGGGACCCAUUGAAGAGGCUAUGGCAAAGGCUGAUAAACUGGCAGAAGAGCAUGCAUCUUGAAGGGUCCUU